UACGGAGAGGGCUAGCGUUAUUCGGAAUCAUUGGCGUAAGGGCGCGUAGGCGGGUUAGUAAGUUAAAAAGUGAAAUCCCAAGGCUCAACCUUGGAACUGCUUUUAAAACUGCUAGUCUAGAGAUUGAAAGAGGAUAGAGGAAUUCCUAGUGUAGAGGUGAAAUUCGUAAAUAUUAGGAGGAACACCAGUGGCGAAGGCGUCUAUCUGGUUCAAAUCUGACGCUGAGGCGCGAAGGCGUGGGGAGCAAACAGG
rnacentral:rRNA from 1 species